rnacentral:rRNA from 1 species
CCUACGGGAGGCAGCAGUGGGGAAUUUUGGACAAUGGGCGAAAGCCUGAUCCAGCAAUGCCGCGUGUGUGAAGAAGGCCUUCGGGUUGUAAAGCACUUUUGUCCGGAAAGAAAUCCUUUGGGUUAAUACCUCGGGGGGAUGACGGUACCGGAAGAAUAAGCACCGGCUAACUACGUGCCAGCAGCCGCGGUAAUACGUAGGGUGCAAGCGUUAAUCGGAAUUACUGGGCGUAAAGCGUGCGCAGGCGGUUUUGUAAGACGGAUGUGAAAUCCCCGGGCUUAACCUGGGAACUGCAUUCGUGACUGCAAGGCUAGAGUAUGGCAGAGGGGGGUAGAAUUCCACGUGUAGCAGUGAAAUGCGUAGAGAUGUGGAGGAAUACCGAUGGCGAAGGCAGCCUCCUGGGCCAAUACUGACGCUCAUGCACGAAAGCGUGGGGAGCAAACA